GGUUCUGUGGUCUAGCGGUUAUGACGUUUCCUUUACAUUUUCUUAGAUGUCCGGAAAAGCUCGCUGGUUCGAUCCCGGCCAGAAUCA